CCUACGGGAGGCAGCAGUGGGGAAUCUUAGACAAUGGGGGCAACCCUGAUCUAGUCAUGCCGCGUGAGUGAUGAAGGCCUUAGGGUCGUAAAGCUCUUUCGCCAGGGAUGAUAAUGACAGUACCUGGUAAAGAAACCCCGGCUAACUCCGUGCCAGCAGCCGCGGUAAU
rnacentral:rRNA from 1 species